rnacentral:lncRNA from 1 species
CCGAAACUGCUCCAGGAGCUCUAGUGUCACUUGAAUUACUUUUAUUCAAACAUAAAUUAAAUAUUUACAAACAGACAUCCUGGUAAAACUUCCUUAUUCUUUUAGCUCUUACACAACUCUAAAACCAAAACAAACUUAAAAAUCAAGUACAAACAAAACUACAAGACCAGUCCAUUUCACGUUAACGUCCUUAAUUUAAGGUGAGGGACGAUGUCUUUCGGCUGCAACCAGAUGUCUGCGUCGAGGUCCCAGGCCAGCCCCAGAUUCAUCUGAGUGUGAGUGCAGGUGUCUGCUACCACUUCUGGGUGAUGACAAUGAUCUCACAACCUUCUCUGGGUGCAAGCACUCCAGACACCUUCAUUCACGUAGAAUGGCGUUGGCAACAUUUCUGUAAAGGGUCAGAUGAUAAACAUUUUAGGCUUUGCAGGCCCCUGCUACAACCACUCAAUUCCGCCAUCCUAGCUCAAAAGCCCUCACAGACAGGCCAUAAACGGGCGGGCGCGGGUGUGCUCCAGUCAAACUUUACUGACACAACAAGCAGUGGCCAGAAUUAGUUCAGAGGCUCUGGGUCAACCUUUGUUCCAGGGCAAAGUGGAAAACUGGUGGGAAUUCUGUUCAGCUGUGGACACACCCUCGACAGGCCAGGAGACCGCUGUGGAAGGAGGAGUCACUGCCACAGCCGCCCAUCGGAUGUAUUCACAACGACAGGCUACAGGCUGGACUGGGGCCACAAGCCUGGACAGCAGACAGCGUCACAGCACUAUCACCUCUUCACUUCACAUCUGUGUUCAAACCAGCUCACAGCAAGAAUGACUAUCUUGCCACUUCCCUUGGCCCAGAAUGGGGUUUCCACCCACCGGCCCUCAACCUCAGGAGGCUCAGAGAUGCCUGCAGGUCCUCACCACUUGGUUCCUGCUGGGACAUCCAGAAGGGCCGGGUAAUUAUGGACUUUUCACAUUAGCCACCAGAGUCCAAUGCAUACUGACAGAGUCUGAGCGCCAUGCCGUUAUAGUUCUGAAUCUCAAAACGCAGUAAGAAAGGAAACUUGGCAACAGUCUUUUUAAUUUGGUACCUUUUUACCCACACUGCGAGGCAUUUGGGAUCAGAGUGCUGAUUCUCUUUAUGAAGCUCUUCUAUAUACAGAAUCACAGCCUACCUUUAACUUGGAGCCUGACACUCGAGACAAUUUCAUUAUUAUUAUUACGCUUCAAUUUUAGACAAAAAACACAUUUUGAAAGAAAAAAGUGCCAAGAAAUACUAUAACUUGGAUAAGAAACAGUCUCAUUUAUUAGAGUCUUUCUUGUAGGGAAGAAAACUUCCCCACACACGUCCCCUCACCUGGCUACUCUUCUCUUCCCAAGACAGUCAAUUCAGGGAAAAAAGAGGAAUAAAAUCUGAUUCUG